rnacentral:rRNA from 1 species
GACGAACGCUGGCGGCGUGCUUAACACAUGCAAGUCGAACGAAGUGGCGAACGGGUGAGUAACGCGUAAUCCACCUGCCCUUCAGAGGGGGACAACAGUUGGAAACGACUGCUAAUACCGCAUACUGACGGUGGGGAUUGCGUCUGAUUAGCUGGUUGGCGGGGUAACAGCCCACCAAGGCGAUGAUCAGUAGCCGGGCUGGGAGGAUGAACGGCCAAAUUGGGAAUGGUGAACGGCCCAGGCUCCUACGGGAGGGAGCAGUGGGGAAUCUUCCGCAAUGGACGGAAGUCUGACGGAGCAAAGCCGCGGGAGUGAUGACGGCCUUCGGGUUGUAAAGCUCUGUUAAUCGGGACGCGGUACCGGAAUAGAAAGCCACGGCUAACUACGUGCCAGCAGCCGCGGUAAUUC